AUCAACUUUCGAUGGUAGGAUAGAGGCCUACCAUGGUGGUAACGGGUAACGGGGUGUUAGGGCACGACACCGGAGAGGGAGCCUGAGAAACGGCUACCACAUCCAAGGAUGGCAGCAGGCGCGCAAAUUACCCAAUCCCGACACGGGGAGGUAGUGACAAUAAAUAACAAUACGGGGUUCUUUCGGAUCUCGUAAUUGGAAUGAGUACAAUUUAAAUCUCUUAACGAGGAACAAUUGGAGGGCAAGUCUGGUGCCAGCAGCCGCGGUAAUUCCAGCUCCAAUAGCGUAUAUUAAAGUUGUUGCAGUUAAAAAGCUCGUAGUUGAAUUUCGGGGUUAGCAGGUCGGUCGUGCCAUCGGUAUGAACUGGUCUCGCUGAUCCCUCCCUCUUGACGAACUGUGAUGGCAUUAAUUUGUUGUCGCAGGGAAUCAGGACUGUUACUUUGAAAAAAUUAGAGUGUUUAAAGCAGGCUUUCGCUUGAAUACAUUAGCAUGGAAUAAUGAAAUAGGACGUUUGAUCCUAUUUUGUUGGUUUCUAGGAUUGACGUAAUGAUUAAUAGGGAUAGUUGGGGGCAUUAGUAUUCAAUUGUCAGAGGUGAAAUUCUUGGAUUUAUUGAAGACUAACUACUGCGAAAGCAUUUGCCAAGGAUGUUUUCAUUAAUCAAGAACGAAAGUUAGGGGAUCGAAGACGAUCAGAUACCGUCGUAGUCUUAACCAUAAACUAUGCCGACUAGGGAUCGGAUGAUGUUAAUUUUUUAAUGACUCAUUCGGCGCCUUACGGGAAACCAAAGUGUUUGGGUUC
rnacentral:rRNA from 1 species